rnacentral:lncRNA from 10 species
UUCACCCAACAACAUUUUUGAUGCAUGAUGCAUAUGGUGCUAAAUGCUGGGAAUGCAAACCUGAGUAAGUGUCUAUUUCAAAUCAAUAGGAGUACUUGAAGAUUCUCCCUGCUUACAAUGUAAACAUCAUGAAGAAAGAGAUGUGUUGGACUUGUUCAUCGCUAUAUUUCCUGGCUCAGAUCCUGGCACUGAGUAGACAUCAAGAAAUAUUUAAAUGAAUGAAAGAAUGAAUGAAUGAAUGAACGAACUGUGUCCUCUUGUAGAGCUGAGGGUGUUUUACCACUACCCUAAGAGCUGACACCAGGAGGUCUUGCUGCAAAGCCAGGCACUGUAUUCCACACUGUAUUUCCAUCAUCGCUUUUAAUGAGACUUCUUUGCAAAUAUGUAUGGUAUCUUUUAAAAUACCUGAUAACCAGCCAGCAGGGGUGGUCAGCUGCUACACUGGUAGCCACAAACAGAAUCCAAGACACAGAACUUCAUACGGUGUCACAGCUUCAUUUUCCAGGCUACAGCUCCCACUGCCCACAUCAGAACCAUCUGCAGGUCCAUAAGCUGUGAGUUUCUUUGGGAGUUGGGGGAGUGUCUUUUGGAUGUUUAUAACUUAUGCAUCUUAAUAUUGAAUGUGCACUUAAUACAUGGAACUUCAUAGUACUUGAUUUUUUAUGCAAAAAUGACUUAAUUAAAAUUUCUUGAAGAAACAUCAUAGAAUGAAUAUGGAGAUCACUUAAGUACCUUCCUGCUCUGUACAUAAUGAUAAAAUUCUGGUAGCUGAUCUAAAGCUAAGAAGAAUGUGGGAGGAAACAAAAUGCAAGUGGUUAGGUAACUGCUCUAUUUAUCGAUUUAUCUCUCGUCCUUGCAGAUAAUCUAACUUACAGGCCAUCUUGCUUUCUGUCAAUCUAUCUUUUUCUGUUUCUUUACACCUACACAUCUAUCUAGCUACCUGCUUAUCUCUGUCUGUCACAGCACUUCUAAGCAAUACGAUUAAGAGGACUAGGUUUUUGUUUCUUUUUUAAAAUGUGCCACUUUG